AUUGAACGCUGGCGGAAUGCUUUACACAUGCAAGUCGAACGGUAGAGGGGGCAACCCCUUGAGAGUGGCGAACGGGUGAGUAAUAUAUCGGAACGUGCCCAGUCGUGGGGAUAACGUAGCGAAAGUUACGCUAAUACCGCAUACGAUCUAAGGAUGAAAGCGGGGGAUCGCAAGACCUCGCGCGAUUGGAGCGGCCGAUAUCAGAUUAGGUAGUUGGUGAGGUAAAGGCUCACCAAGCCAACGAUCUGUAGCUGGUCUGAGAGGACGACCAGCCACACUGGAACUGAGACACGGUCCAGACUCCUACGGAGGCAGCAGUGGGGAAUUUUGGACAAUGGACGCAAGUCUGAUCCAGCCAUUCCGCGUGCAGGA
rnacentral:rRNA from 1 species